UGUGGCAAAUAGACGCCUGAACAAUACCAGUGUUCUAUAGAGUGACACUGGAACAUUCUUAGAGAUGGAAAAUUCCAUGGCGGAAAGCUACAGGCACUCAGCAGGGACUUGAUAUGACACCUUAUCACAGGAACUCUCACAAACUGCCGCAGCUAUCGUGGGAAUCGGAGAUACCUGGAUGAAAUCAGAGAGUAGAUGAAGAGUCCUAUUUAACCAGGAAUAUAAAUUUGCCACGUGAAGAAAGUCUGCUUCCCCUUCGCCUUUGUAAGUUUCCUGAAGCCUCUCCAGCUGGGUGAAACUAUGUAUAUUAGUUCCCAUGGAAACUACAUUGGGAUGGCUUGAGAGUGACAUCUACAAAUGCAGUGUAAGGUCAUUUUUAUAUAAUGCUUUGAAAUUUAAACCAUGGUUUGUGAUAUAUAGUGAAACCCCCUUAACAUAUUCUGAAGGACUAUAAAAAGACAAUAUUCUGAAUGCAAAAACAAGACAUGUGACUGCAUUAUGCCAGGUCUAGGAAAGUUCAACAUUGCUCUUUGCAUAGAAAAAUACAAAUACAUUUGUCGGUUUGCCUCCAGGAAAGUCCUGGCAAUGAA